UGACCUACGGGGCGCAGCAGUGGGGAAUAUUGGGCAAUGGGCGCAAGCCUGACCCAGCAACGCCGCGUGAAGGAAGAAGGCUUUCGGGUUGUAAACUUCUUUUGUCAGGGAAGAGUAGAAGACGGUACCUGACGAAUAAGCCACGGCUAACUACGUGCCAGCAGCCGCGGUAAUACGUAGGUGGCAAGCGUUGUCCGGAUUUACUGGGUGUAAAGGGCGUGUAGCCGGGUUGACAAGUCAGAUGUGAAAUCCUGCGGCUUAACCGCGGAACUGCAUUUGAAACUGUCAGUCUUGAGUACCGGAGG
rnacentral:rRNA from 1 species